rnacentral:misc_RNA from 1 species
GAAAUGCGAUAAGUAGGGUGAAUUGCAGAAUUCAGUGAAUCAUCGAAUCUUUGAACGCACAUUGCGCCCCUUGGUAUUCCAUGGGGCAUGCCUGUUCGAGCGUCAUUUGUACCCUCAAGCUCUGCUUGGUGUUGGGUGUUUGUCCCCGUCUCCGCGCGUGGACUCGCCCCAAAGUGAUUGGCAGCCGGCGUACUGGUCCCGGAGCGCAGCACAUGUCGCGCAAACGAGUGCCUUGGUACGGCGGCGUCCAUAAGCCCCUCUCUCACGCUCUUGACCUCGGAUCAGGUAGGGAUACCCGCUGAACUUAAGC